rnacentral:rRNA from 1 species
GACGAACGCUGGCGGCGUGCUUAACACAUGCAAGUCGAGCGGAAAGGCCCUUCGGGGUACUCGAGCGGCGAACGGGUGAGUAACACGUGAGUAACCUGCCCCAGACUUUGGGAUAACCCUCGGAAACGGGGGCUAAUACCGGAUACGACACAGCUUCGCAUGGGGUCUGUGUGGAAAGUUUUUCGGUUUGGGAUGGGCUCGCGGCCUAUCAGCUUGUUGGUGGGGUGAUGGCCUACCAAGGCGACGACGGGUAGCCGGCCUGAGAGGGCGAACGGCCACACUGGGACUGAGACACGGCCCAGAGUCCUACGGGAGGCAGCAGUGGGGAAUAUUGCACAAUGGGCGGAAGCCUGAUGCAGCGACGCCGCGUGAGGGAUGACGGCCUUCGGGUUGUAAACCUCUUUCAGCAGGGACGAAGCGUAAGUGACGGUACCUGCAGAAGAAGCGCCGGCCAACUACGUG